AUGGAAAAAGGGUUCGCGAUCGUCUGGAGGUGGACAGCGACAGCGACUUCGAAGAUGCAGCAGACUGAUGUCUCGGUGGUGUACGCUACUCUCCACAUGGGGCUGGAUGGGCUGCUCUCCUCCUCGGCGUGGUCGGAGGCUGCCUCCGUCUCUACGCCCACCAAUCAGCAGUUCACUGAGCCAGAGCCUGAGGGCCACAACUGCUAUGAGGGCUGGGAGGAGGACCUGCUGCCUGAGGAGAGGGAGGUUCCUCUGCUAAACCUCUACCUUACCACCAAGAGAGUGGAGGACAUCGCCCUGAGGCUCGUCUCCCUGCGCCAGGCCUUCACUACCCUGCUUGGUUCCACCCUGAGCAGGAACCAUCUGUUUGUGGCAGGAAAGGUCCUAAUGGGCGCACUGGUUCAGGCCCACCACAUGGACGAGGCCGAAUUCAUCCGUGCCUAUAACGACUUUGUGGACUACCUGAGUGACCCCUCCAAGCAGAUUGACAUUGAGAGGGAGCUGGCUGAGGCAAAGAUCCAUCAUGUUAACCUGAUAGAUGUCCUCUUUGAACUGGUGAUGUUUGGGAUGAUGACAGCUCAGAAGUCCAUGAUGGUGCACCCUGGUGGGUUCAUGGAGCGUCUGUACGCUCUCCUGUACUCCUUCCUGCCCGCUGCUGCCAGCAUUGAGCCAAAGGCGAGAGAUACCUGCUGCUGCUCAAUGAUUCUUAUGACACUUUGCCACCUAACAGGGAUCUAGACACUAAUGCACUACAUUACUUUGCACUGAAUUUUACAUUUUGAAAUAAAAUAACUAGUAGUUCAAAGCAUUUGUCUCUGUCUUUUCAUUUACUUGAUCAUUUCAUCACUAUUACCUCUUCCUGGAGUUAUGAGGCUAAUAUUACAUGAACAAUUAUGCUUUAUUCUUUGCAUAUGGAAAUAAACA
rnacentral:lncRNA from 8 species